rnacentral:tRNA from 1 species
GGGUCCUUAGCUCAGCGGUUUAGAGCGUCCGCCUCACACGCGGAAGGUCGGUGGUUCAAAUCCACCAGGACCCACCC